CCAGUAAGACUGCAAUGACCUGACAAAGAAGACAAAAUUAUAAAAGGAUAAGUAGUUUGGGUUUUUUAUUUUUUUUGUGAUGUAAUUGAGUUCUUUCCUUGGGAGAAGAAUCAUUCAGAAGAAACUUUUUUAUUGAAAUUGUUUCAUUGCAGAUGUGAAGCAGCAAAAAGCUCCAGGGGACUUGUAUUUUUAUGUUGUUCUCAAUGAUAUGAGCAGUAAGAGAGAGAAAUUAUCAUGUGGUUUAUGGGAUAAAGGGGUUAACUGGGGAGCUAAACCAGAGGUGUAACCACAGGAGAACAACAACAGCCCUGAAGGCUGGUGCAGGUGCUUACCAGAUCACCACACUCAUUCUCAGUGCCUGCUUACAGACCUGACCUUCACUGGAAGAGCUGGGUGAACAUUUCCCAGUCACCAGAGCAAACAAUCAGCAGAGAGUUCAGCAUAAAAGCAUGAAAAGCCAAGGGCUGCAAAACCAAAAGAAAACUGUCAAGAAGAGGGGAAAAAAAACAAAGACAGAGAAGAAAUGUUGUUCAAGUGUAGUUCAACUUUACCAGAUAAACCAGGGGGACUAAAUGACUUCCAGACGGAUUUGAAGCCCCCAAAAUUCACAGGUGAAGAGAGAAUGAAGACCCACAUGGUUCUGCACACCUCAAGUCCCUUUCCCAAAGGGAGUUGCAGGCUUCUUCUGACCCUGGACACUUCUUGAGGGGGCUCAAUCUCCCCUAAGGUGUGGAGGAGAGCAUUCCCUUGGCUGAUACAGCUGCCUCCAGCCACAAUUCACAUUUCUGAGAAACCACAUGGAGGGCACAGGGACUGCAGAGCCAUUGCUCAAUGUAUUGAGGAAAACUUUGACAGAAGACAGUAAAACAAUAAUGAUGUGGGUGUGGAUGAUAAUGAAGACUACACUUACAAAUUAGCACAUCUCCCUGAAGUUUCCUAAGCCCUUGGACACCUAAAGAUGAGGAACUGCUUUCUAUCAUGAGGGUGAUUGAGAAACUCAUGUGUGGCUGACCAAGAAAUUUGAUUUACUUCACUAUCUUAGUUGUUCAAGAAGCCCAGAAGAAAUCAACGAGUAGUGCAGAAGCUGAAAAACCAACAGCUGAGCUCAGAAAACAGGAUCUGACUAAAUUGCACCACAUCAGACCCUAAACUCCUAUUAACUUCCCAACCAGAGCAUUAAGUUUUCCAACCCUCUCUCAU